UAAGUGGGGUUGGCUGGCUUGCGUUUCGUUUCUAUCAUGGUAAGGGUCGCGGCUGCCCCAGCUCGCUGUUUUGGUGGCUGACUUUCAGCGGGCAGAGGAGGCAGAAGCUGAGCCGUAGUAGGGACGCGCAAAAAACAUCAGCCUGGCCAGAAGCCCCAAUGCGUGGCCCGUUCGCCCCGUCCGGACCCAGCCCCGGCCCGAACCCCCUGGGAGUGCCCCCCGCAGGCCUCGCGCUCGCCUUCGGAGCCCUGGCUGCCCACCAGCAGAGGCGGCGGCUGUCUCGGGUCCCUGAGUGCCGGGGCUCCCACUGUGGCCGCCAAGAGUUCGGCUCUGUCAGCCUCGGGCUGCGCGGGGGACCGCAGGGCGAGCCCCAAGACCGGGCGGGGGGCCGGGGCUACAGGGAGAGUAAUCCAGAGGUGCACUCAGACGGCUGGGCUCUCCCUCAAACCAUGGGAGCUACCCCCAGGGUGCCCCUCACACACAA
rnacentral:telomerase_RNA from 1 species